CGCUGACUCUGGGACAGGGACACUUACCUCACCUCCUGAGUGUUGAUGGCGGGACCGCGCAACCCACCCUGGAGGCGCAAGGCCUGCAACCCACUGCGGCCCAGGCCAUGCCAACCUGGACGGGCGGAGCCACCAGCCUGUUUCUCUGACAAGCUGACCACUGACGAUGCGACGCUGGCCCGGUGGCCUGCCACUCGAACCCGGGACCGCACGCUCACCUGUUUUGCAGCCGCCUGGCUGGGAGG